rnacentral:rRNA from 1 species
UGAACGCUGGCGGCGUGCCUAAUACAUGCAAGUCGAGCGAACAGACGAGGAGCUUGCUCCUCUGACGUUAGCGGCGGACGGGUGAGUAACACGUGGAUAACCUACCUAUAAGACUGGGAUAACUUCGGGAAACCGGAGCUAAUACCGGAUAAUAUAUUGAACCGCAUGGUUCAAUAGUGAAAGACGGUUUUGCUGUCACUUAUAGAUGGAUCCGCGCCGCAUUAGCUAGUUGGUAAGGUAACGGCUUACCAAGGCAACGAUGCGUAGCCGACCUGAGAGGGUGAUCGGCCACACUGGAACUGAGACACGGUCCAGACUCCUACGGGAGGCAGCAGUAGGGAAUCUUCCGCAAUGGGCGAAAGCCUGACGGAGCAACGCCGCGUGAGUGAUGAAGGUCUUCGGAUCGUAAAACUCUGUUAUUAGGGAAGAACAAAUGUGUAAGUAACUAUGCACGUCUUGACGGUACCCAAUCAGAAAGCCACGGCUAACUACGUG